UUUAGACACAAAAUCAAACACCUCACUCACGCCCAAAUUCUGUACACACCCGUCCUUCUUAAACGUUUGUUCCCACCCAAUGUGUGUGUCCCGAGCGGCGCGGUAGGGACACACACGUUGACUCACGUUUCCAAGUUUGCUUAAUAGCUUGGGCUUGUUUUUGAGCCCAUGAAAGAAAUUGAGUCCAUAUUCCAUUAUAUAAGCUAAGCAGCAAUUUAGGUUAAAGUGUCUUUUAAUUUUUGUUGAGAGAAAGGAAGCGGCGGCAGCCUAUGAUGUGGAGAAAUGCGUAUUUUCCAACUUGUUGUCUUCCCUUUUGUUUUAUGUAAGGACAGAUUCAAAAAAGUAAAAGGAUUUGGAUUUUGAAUCCAAGAAAAUGAUUUGGAAGUCAAGAAAAACAACUAUUGGAUUAUGCAUUUCUCUUGAAAAAGAAUUUGGAAGCCAAGACAAAAAAAAAUUAGAAACAAGCUGACAAAAAGAAGAAUGAGAAUGGAUGGAUAUGCAAAGAAGAAAUUAUGAUGCUAGUUGAUGAUAAUUGUUUGUAAAAUUGUAAUAGAAAUAUUUAGUUUGAUCUAUAAAAGUGUUCAUCUCUUAUUUUUCAAGUUU